rnacentral:rRNA from 1 species
UUGCACGCUGGCGGCAUGCUUUACACAUGCAAGUCGAACGGCAGCGAGGAGAAGCUUGCUUCUCUGUCGGCGAGUGGCGAACGGGUGAGUAUAGCAUCGGAACGUGCCAAGUAGUGGGGGAUAACCAAACGAAAGUUUGGCUAAUACCGCGUAAGCUCUAAGGAGGAAAGUAGGGGACCUAAAUAAGGCCUUACGCUAUUUGAUCGGCCGAUGUCGGAUUAGCUAGUUGGUGGGGUAAUGGCUCACCAAGGCAAUGAUCCGUAGCGGGUCUGAGAGGACGAUCCGCCACACUGGGACUGAGACACGGCCCAGACUCCUACGGGAGGCAGCAGUGGGGAAUUUUGGACAAUGGGGGAAACCCUGAUCCAGCCAUGCCGCGUGUAUGAAGAAGGCCUUAGGGUUGUAAAGUACUUUUGUUAGGGAAGAAAAGCUAGUUUUUAAUAAAAAUUAGUGAUGACGGUACCUAAAGAAUAAGCACCGGCUAACUACGUG